rnacentral:misc_RNA from 1 species
GAUGAAGAACGUAGCGAAAUGCGAUAAGUAAUGUGAAUUGCAGAAUUCAGUGAAUCAUCGAAUCUUUGAACGCGCAUUGCGCCCGCCAGUAUUCUGGCGGGCAUGCCUGUUCGAGCGUCAUUUCAACCAUCAAGCCCCCGGGCUUGUGUUGGGGACCUGCGGCUGCCGCAGGCCCUGAAAAGCAGUGGCGGGCUCGCUGUCACACCGAGCGUAGUAGAUUUUAUCUCGCUCUGGGCGUGCUGCGGGUUCCGGCCGUUAAACCACCCUUUUAACCCAAGGUUGACCUCGGAUCAGGUAGGAAGACCCGCUGAACUUAAGCAUAUCAAUAAGCGGAGGA